GAUGAACGCUGGCGGCGUGCCUAAUACAUGCAAGUCGAGCGAACGGACGAGAAGCUUGCUUCUCUGAUGUUAGCGGCGGACGGGUGAGUAACACGUGGAUAACCUACCUAUAAGACUGGGAUAACUUCGGGAAACCGGAGCUAAUACCGGAUAAUAUUUUGAACCGCAUGGUUCAAAAGUGAAAGACGGUCUUGCUGUCACUUAUAGAUGGAUCCGCGCUGCAUUAGCUAGUUGGUAAGGUAACGGCUUACCAAGGCAACGAUGCAUAGCCGACCUGAGAGGGUGAUCGGCCACACUGGAACUGAGACACGGUCCAGACUCCUACGGGAGGCAGCAGUAGGGAAUCUUCCGCAAUGGGCGAAAGCCUGACGGAGCAACGCCGCGUGAGUGAUGAAGGUCUUCGGAUCGUAAAACUCUGUUAUUAGGGAAGAACAUAUGUGUAAGUAACUGUGCACAUCUUGACGGUACCUAAUCAGAAAGCCACGGCUAACUACGUGCCAGCAGCCGCGGUAAUACGUAGGUGGCAAGCGUUAUCCGGAAUUAUUGGGCGUAAAGCGCGCGUAGGCGGUUUUUUAAGUCUGAUGUGAAAGCCCACGGCUCAACCGUGGAGGGUCAUUGGAAACUGGAAAACUUGAGUGCAGAAGAGGAAAGUGGAAUUCCAUGUGUAGCGGUGAAAUGCGCAGAGAUAUGGAGGAACACCAGUGGCGAAGGCGACUUUCUGGUCUGUAACUGACGCUGAUGUGCGAAAGCGUGGGGAUCAAACAGGAUUAGAUACCCUGGUAGUCCACGCCGUAAACGAUGAGUGCUAAAUGUUAGGGGGUUUCCGCCCCUUAGUGCUGCAGCUAACGCAUUAAGCACUCCGCCUGGGGAGUACGACCGCAAGGUUGAAACUCAAAGGAAUUGACGGGGACCCGCACAAGCGGUGGAGCAUGUGGUUUAAUUCGAAGCAACGCGAAGAACCUUACCAAAUCUUGACAUCCUUUGACAACUCUAGAGAUAGAGCCUUCCCCUUCGGGGGACAAAGUGACAGGUGGUGCAUGGUUGUCGUCAGCUCGUGUCGUGAGAUGUUGGGUUAAGUCCCGCAACGAGCGCAACCCUUAAGCUUAGUUGCCAUCAUUAAGUUGGGCACUCUAAGUUGACUGCCGGUGACAAACCGGAGGAAGGUGGGGAUGACGUCAAAUCAUCAUGCCCCUUAUGAUUUGGGCUACACACGUGCUACAAUGGACAAUACAAAGGGCAGCGAAACCGCGAGGUCAAGCAAAUCCCAUAAAGUUGUUCUCAGUUCGGAUUGUAGUCUGCAACUCGACUACAUGAAGCUGGAAUCGCUAGUAAUCGUAGAUCAGCAUGCUACGGUGAAUACGUUCCCGGGUCU
rnacentral:rRNA from 1 species